rnacentral:rRNA from 1 species
AGUUUGAUCCUGGCUCAGAUUGAACGCUGGCGGGAUGCUUUACAUGCAAGUCGAACGGCAGCAGCACGGACUUCGGUCUGGUAGCGAGUGGCGAACGGGUGGUAUCUUCGGAACGUGCCUAGUAGCGGGGGAUAACUACGCGAAAGCGUAGCUGUACCGCAUACGCCCUUCGGGGAAAGCGGGGGACCUUCGGGCCUCGCACUAUUAGAGCGGCCGAUAUCGGAUUAGCUAGUUGGUGGGGUAACGGCUCACCAAGGCGACGAUCGUGCUUCGCAGUUUGAGAGGACGACCAGCCACACUGGGACGUGAGACGGCCCAGACUCCUACGGGAGGCAACAGUGAAAUUUUGGACAAUGGGGGAAACCCUGAUCCAGCCAUCCGGUAUUACGAUGAAGGCCCCUUCAGGUUGUAAAGCACUUUGGCAGGAAAGAAACGGCACGGGAUAAUACCCCGUGCAACUGACGGCUCACCUGCAGAAUAAGCGCCACAUUAACUACGUGCCAGCAGCCGCGGUAAUACGUAGGUGCAAGCGUUAAUCAGAAUUACUGGGCGUAAAGCGUGCGCAGGCGAGUUCCGGAAGAAAGAUGUGGUAGGCUUAACUUUGGGCUUUGCAUUUUAACUACCGAGCUAGAGUGUGUCAGAGGAGGUGGAAUUCCCAUGAUGGCAACAGUGAAAUGCGUAGAUAUGCGGAGGAGGAACACCGAUGGCGAAGGCAGCCUCUGGGAUAACACUGACGCUCAUGCACACGAAAGCGUGGGGGCAAACAGGAUUAGAUACCUGGUAGUCCACGCCUAAACGAUAUCAGCUAGCUGUUGGGGCCUUCCGGGCGUAGUGACGCAGCUAACGCGUGAAGUUGACCGCCUGGGGAGAGUACGGUCGCAAGAUUAAAACUCAAAGGAAUUGACGGGGGACCGCACAAGCGGUGGAUGAUGUGGAUUAAUUCGAUGCAACGCGAAAAACCUUACCUACCCUUGACAUGUCUGGAAUCGAAGAGAUUUGGGAGUGCUCGCAAGGAGAACCGGAACACAGGUGCUGCAUGGCUGUCGUCAGCUCGUGUCGUGAGAUGUUGGGUUAAGUCCCGCAACGAGCGCAACCCUUGUCAUUAGUUGCUACGAAGGGCACUCUAAUGAGACUGCCGGUGACAAGCCGGAGGAAGGUGGGGAUGACGUCAAGUCCUCAUGGCCCUUAUGGGUAGGGCUUCACACGUCAUACAAUGGUCAGGACAGAGGGUCGCCAACCCGCGAGGGGAGCCAAUCCCAGAAACCCGAUCGUAGUCCGGAUCGCAGUCUGCAACUCGACUGCGUGAAGUCGGAAUCGCUAGUAAUCGCGGAUCAGCAUGUCGCGGUGAAUACGUUCCCGGGUCUUGUACACACCGCCCCGUCACACCAUGGAGUGGGUUUUUACCGAAGUAGUUAGCCUAACUUAAGGAGGGCGAUUACCACGGUAGGAUUCAUGACUGGGGUGAAGUCGUAACAAGGUA